CACUUUUAGUUGCCAUCAUUAAGUUGGGCACUCUGAAAGAACUGCCAGUGAUAAGCUGGAGGAAGGUGGGGAUGACGUCAAGUCCUCAUGGCCCUUACGUGUUGGGCUACACACGUGCUACAAUGGUAUCUACAACAGGAAGCAAAACGGCAACGUUAAGCAAAUCCCGAAAAGAUACCUCAGUUCGGAUUGCACUCUGCAACUCGAGUGCAUGAAGCUGGAAUUACUAGUAAUCGUGGAUCAGCGUGCCACGGUGAGUGCGUUC
rnacentral:rRNA from 1 species